rnacentral:lncRNA from 1 species
UCUUUGACAACCUCAGGAUGGUAGGCUGGGGAUUUGAGUUCCUCAACACAUUGCAAAGCUUCUGCCAGAAUCCGAACGCUGAAAUAUUCCUCCAGAAGAGAUAUUGUCUCUCUCUUUAGUUCAGGUGUCGAACGAGCAGCAGGAGCCUGUGGUUUUUCAGCAGAUGGAGAAACAACGGUUGCUGGAGGAGGUCUAACUGGUCCGUGAACCUGUGAUGCAGGCUCCAUGCCAAAACCAUAGCUCAA